rnacentral:lncRNA from 1 species
GGCAAUUGAAAUAUCACUAAAUUGAUGGCAAACUGUGCUUAACAAGAGGGACGUGAUGGAGGCCAACAUUAAAAUUCCAUCUAUUUCAACCCUUGCAAAGGGAUGUGAGAGGUUUGCCUUAGGUCCUUUGCUGUGAAGUGAGGUAUUCUUAUGUGACCUUGAUGGCAGGCUCUAGGUUGUGUGCAUCUGGGUCAGAGCUAGCAUAUUCGCCCAGGCAGGGCUUACUCAUAAAUCCUGCCUGAUUUAUGAAGGCACCAGAGACUGCGCUAUUCCAAAAACAGCGUGCCACAAACUUACACCGGAUGCUCACUCACAUGAAAACAAUUGUUUAAAUGCUGAACAAAAACUCAUAACGAGACCCAACGCUCCCCAUUUGUGGGCUGACUGAAGCCCCAGCUGCAUUUGUGAGUGAUUUCCCUGACUUUGAUGGCCCAGAGGGCUCUGCUCCAGCUGCAUGUCUGGGAGUGAAGUGGCUCAGGCUGCUGCAGGACCGAGGAGGAGGAGGAGGAGGAGGAAGAAGCAAACCCAGCUCGGAGCACCAGGGAAUGUGGAGGAAGUGACUGUGUGCUGUGUUGGAGGGCGUAAUUUCACCCAGGAGGAGUUGGCUGAAGCCCUGCAACCUCCUAACACCUUACCAAAGGCUGAAGGAGAUGCGAUGCCUCAGAACAGCUGGCUCUGCCUACAGAUUUGGCAUCCACUGCUCCUCUUGGAGCCCAGGAGAUGAAAGAGAAGUGCCAGAGGUACCACACAGCUGGAAGCUCGACUCGCAGGCAGACACAAAAGUGGAACAGGGAAGCAGGAGAGAAGAAACGCUCCUUUGUCUCGUGGUUGAACUGGUUGCCCUUGCUGGGACACAAGCAGUUCAUCUGGGCAGAGAAACCCACUGGCCCACUUGGCAUCCUGCGGCUCUUGGCACGCGUUAAACAGAAACAAAACUGUGCUCUGCUACUGAUGAUCCUCACAGCAGAAUCUCUGUGCUGUUUUCAGCCUGAGCGAAGGGGAGGAGAGGAAGGCUGCUGAAGAAUGGUAGUGAGACACAGAAACUUCUCAGUGUGGCUGUUAAUGUGUUCAGGUGGUGGAAAACUACAGAGGGAGGAUGUGGGCUGAAUGCAGCUAUAAUGGACUGGAAUUCGUGACACGGAGUAACUUGUUGGCUUUGUAAAAUGGAAUCACUUCCUAACUGUAACGAGCAAUCUUGGACAUGAUCAUUUUGGGAUACCAAAGCACUGGCUGCUACAUGAGUACUUGUAAUCCUCGUUGCAUAAUAGUGUCUGUAAAAAGCUUUUAAAAGGAAAU